AGGAAAGGAGGUCAAUAUUGAGCCAGGCUAGCCAGCAUCCUGGCUUUGGACUUUUGGCUUCCAUAAUGAUGUAUUUUCUUUCUUUCAGUAUCUGCUUCUACCAAGUCCUAAAUGCCAUGUCUUUAGUCCGGGAAGUUCUGUUGAGCACCAGGAUCUCUAGUCUUAUGUCUGUGUGCCCUGGACAUAUAGGACUGUCCCCAAGGGUGCCAGUGUCCUUACCUCCAACCUCCCCUUCUAUGUUCUCCACUUGAUAUUUCUGGACUGCAAUCAACCUCAGACACCUGAAAAGGCUACCACAGAAGAACAGGAAAUCUGAGUCUGCUUCAAAGAAUUCAAUUCCUGGAGAAGACAAACAGAUCUAGAGUUAAAGAUGUGAUCUCUCAGCUUCCUGCCCCUGCUUCUGUGAUUGCCACUUGAUGCCAUGGCUCUCUGCCUUAGAGGAAUCUCAUCACUAUGUAACUGUGAGGUGAAAUAAACUCUUUUGUAAGUUG